GGGUGCUCGAGUGGCGAACGGGUGAGUAACACGUGAGUAACCUGCCCUUGACUUUGGGAUAACUUCAGGAAACUGGGCUAAUACCGGAUAGGAGCUCCUGCUGCAUGGUGGGGGUUGGAAAGUUUCGGCGGUUGGGGAUGGACUCGCGGCUUAUCAGCUUGUUGGUGGGGUAGUGGCUUACCAAGGCUUUGACGGGUAGCCGGCCUGAGAGGGUGACCGGCCACAUUGGGACUGAGAUACGGCCCAG
rnacentral:rRNA from 1 species